UCUUGAGAGCGGCGCUCGUCCGACCUAGGCCCAUCUGUCUGCCUGGUAGUGGGGGAUAACGGUCGGAUCGGACGCUCGUACCGCAUACGUCCUACGCGUGAAAGCAGGGGACCUUCGGGCCUUGCGCUAUCAGAUGAGCCUACGUCGGAGUAGCUAGUUGGCGAGAUAAUGGCGCACCACGGCUACGAUCCGUAUCUGGGCUGAGAGGAUGAUCAGUCACACUGGAACUGACCCUGGACCAACUCUUCUACGGGAGGCAGCAGUGGGGAAUAUUGGACAAUGGGCGAAAGCCUGAUCCAGCCAUGCCGCGUGUGUGAAGAAGGUCUUCGGAUUGUAAAGCACUUUAAGUUGGGAGGAAGGGCAGUUACCUAAUACGUGACUGUCUUGACGUUACCGACAGAAUAAGCACCGGCUAACUCUGUGCCAGCAGCCGCGGUAAUACAGAGGGUGCAAGCGUUAAUCGGAAUUACUGGGCGUAAAGCGCGCGUAGGUGGUUUGUUAAGAUGAAUGUGAAAUCCCCCGGGCUCAACCUGGGAACUGCAUCCAAAACUGGCAAGCUAGAGUAUGGUAGAGGGUAGUGGACUUUCUUGUGUACCGGUGAAAUGCGUAGAUAUAGGAAGGAACACCAGUGUCGAAGGCGACUACCUGGACUGAUACUGACACUGAAGUGCCAAAAGCGUGGGGAAGCAACAGGAUUAGAUACCCUGGUAAGUCCACGCCAUAAACGAUGUC
rnacentral:rRNA from 1 species